rnacentral:misc_RNA from 1 species
GAUGAAGACGCAGCGAAAUGCGAUACGUAAUGUGAAUUGCAGAAUUCAGUGAAUCAUCGAAUCUUUGAACGCAUAUUGCGCUCUCUGGUAUUCCGGAGAGCAUGCUUGUUUGAGUAUCAGUAAACACCUCAACUCCCUUUUCUUUUUUGAAAUUGGAGCUGGACUUGAGUGAUCCCAACGCUUUCUUCCAAGAAAGUGGCGGGUUGCUUGAAAUGCAGGUGCAGCUGAACUUUUCUCUGAGCUAUAAGCAUAUCUAUUUAGUCUGCCUAAAAAACAGAUUAUUACCUUUGCUGCAGCUAACAUAAAGGAGACUAGUUCUUGUGCUGACUGAUGCAGGAUUCACAGAGACAGCUUCGGCUGACUUUGUAAACUCGAUCUCAAAUCAAGUAAGACUACCCGCUGAACUUAAGCAUAUCAAUAAGCGGAGGA